rnacentral:rRNA from 1 species
GCGGAAGGAUCAUUAGAAAUAUCUGGGAUGCUCAAUAUGAGUUCCCAACAAAACACAUUCAUGCGUAUUCUUCCGUGUGUUUCCCCAGACCAAUGGCCAGUACGUACCAUCUUGGCCCAUAACAGGGUAUCCAGCUGGUGUACAGCCGCGUGUGUCUGGGAAGGCCCAAAUUGGCAAAACUUUAUGUUAACUUACUGUCUGACAAGGCCAUGUGCCCCUGUAUUUUAAAUAUUUUAAAACUUUCAACAACGGAUCUCUUGGCUCUCGCAUCGAUGAAGAACGCAGCGAAAUGCGAUAAGUAAUGUGAAUUGCAGAAUUCAGUGAAUCAUCGAAUCUUUGAACGCACAUUGCGCCCUUUGGUAUUCCUUAGGGCAUGCCUGUUCGAGCGUCACUAAAAACCCCAUCACAUUAUGUGUGGUAUUGGCAGAAGUGGGUACUCCCACCCUGCUGGAAUCAAUAGGCUGGAAAAGUAGAUCGUAGCAACAGACUUUCAGAGUGUUUUGAAAUGCUAAAUUAGUUUGAAGCUGGUCGGAACCCCAGGCCAUUUGACCCCCAUUCUGCACAAAGCAGUAAGGUUGACCUCGGAUCAGGUAGGGAUACCCGCUGAACUUAAGCAU